AGCAGCCGCGGUAAUUCCAGCUCCAAUAGCGUAUAUUAAAGUUGUUGCAGUUAAAAAGCUCGUAGUUGAAUUUCGGGGUUAGUAGGUUGGUCGUGCCUCAGGUAUGUACUGAUCUCACUGACUCCUCCUUCCUGAUGAACCGUAAUGCCAUUAAUUUGGUGUUGCGGGGAGACUGGACUGUUACUUUGAAAAAAUUAGAGUGUUUAAAGCAGGCUAACGCUUGAAUACAUUAGCAUGGAAUAAUGAAAUAGGACGUUCGAUCCUAUUUUGUUGGUUUCUAGGAUUGACGUAAUGAUUAAUAGGGAUAGUUGGGGGCAUUAGUAUUCAAUUGUCAGAGGUGAAAUUCUUGGAUUUAUUGAAGACUAACUACUGCGAAAGCAUUUGCCAAGGAUGUUUUCAUUAAUCAAGAACGAAAGUUAGGGGAUCGAAGACGAUCAGAUACCGUCGUAGUCUUAACCAUAAACUAUGCCGACUAGGGAUCGGAUGAUGUUAAUUUUUUAAUGACUCAUUCGGCGCCUUACG
rnacentral:rRNA from 1 species